UGUUCAUCAAUCGUUGAUUGUUUUCAACUAACCACAAAGAUACCGGAACACUAUACCUGCUAUUUGCCGCAUAGGCAGGGAUAGCAGGCACCGCCUUAAGCCUUCUAAUUCGAGCAGAAUUAGGCCAGCCGGGAACUCUGCUAGGAGAUGAUCAGAUCUACAAUGUUAUUGUUACCGCCCUCACAUCCGUUAUAAUCUUUUUUAUGGUAAUACCAAUCAUGAUUGGGGGUUUCGGCAACUGGCUAGUCCCUCUGGUAAUUGGUGCACCCAAUAUGGCAUUCCCCGAGAUAAAUAAUAUGAGCUUCUGACUUCUCCCCCAAUCUUUUCUACUCCUACUUGCAUCCUCAAUAGUAGAAGCCUGCGCUGGAACCGGCUGAACACUUUAUCCCCCUUUAGCAGGAAACCUAGCACAUUUAGGAGCCUCUGUGUAUCUGACCAUCUUCUCCCUCCACUUGGCAGGUGUUUCGUCUAUUUUAGGGGCCAUUAACUUCAUUACCACAAUUAUUAACAUAAAACCCCCAGCCUUAUCUCAGUAUCACACACCCCUUUUCGUCUGAUCAGUCCAUUAUGGCAGUCCUUCUACUCUUUCCCUCCCAGACCCAGCCGCCGGCAUUACUAUACUGUUAACUGACGGUAACCUCAACACUACUUUUUUUGACCCCGCUGGCGGGUGUGACCCUAUCUUGUACCAACAUUUAUUCUGAUUCUUUGGUCACCCUGAAGUCCAUAUCCUUAUCCUACCAGGCUUCAGGAUAAUCUCCCACAUCGUAACGUAUUUUCUGGAAAACAGGAAUCAUUUGGAUAUGGGCAUACUAUGAGCCAUGAUAUCAAUUGGUUUCUUAGGAUUUAUCGUAUGGGCUCACCAUAUAUUUACGGUAGGAACAGACAUAGACACACGGGCAUAAUUCACCUCUGCUACCAUAAUUAUUGCUAUCCCUACUGGCUUCAAGGUCUUUAGCUGAUUAGCUACACUGCACAGUGAUUACAUCAAACAAUCUCCCGAAAUAUUCUGAGCCCUAGGAUUCAUUUUCCUUUUCACAGUAGGAGGCUUAACCGGCAU
rnacentral:lncRNA from 1 species